GUCAGUCACAGGUUCUGGGUUUGACGUGGACAUAUUUUUUUCCAGACUCUCACUUAAUCCCGCAGAUCUCUCAAUCUGAGUUCCACUGUCUUCUAGUUCCACUUGUUUCCCCCGCAGCAGAGGGGAAGGGGGCUUUCCCCCCUUCUUCCUUUUGUCUCCUCCAGACUUCAACUUUUGGGGGUCUUUCCAGGAGCCUCUGUGAGCUGAGACAGCUGAGUGAAUACCUGCCUAUAGAGGUCACCCCUCAACCUCUCCACCUCUACAAGCUGGAGUUCCCUGGGGCCCAGGCACCUUCUUGACCUGGGAUCUUCCAGGACGGCUGGACAUUCACACCCCGCCCCAACCCUGCAGUCAUCAGAUCAUUCUUGGCUUUUGGGCAUCUCAACUGGAGAUGCAGGCCUGCCCUCCCCUGCCCUGCUCUGUCCUUUCCACCCCUCCCCUCCCCUCUCCCCUCCCCUCUCCUUCUUUGUCCUGCACUGCAAGUUUCCCAGCUCCUCAACCUCCCUUUCAUGAACUAACUGCUAGGCUGGAAACCUGGGUACUUGGUUCUCACUGUUGAUGUGGGAGGGAGGGAGGAGGGUGACCCCCAGAGGACAUUUAGCAAAGUCUAGAGACACUUUUUAUUGUCAUAACUGAGUGACGGAAGUCUGCAUUAUUACUCUUUAGUGAGUGAAGGCUAGGGAUGUUGCUAAACAGCCCAUUAUGAACACGAUAACCCUAGAAUAAAGGAGUCCCUUGAUGAAGAUGACAACAGUGUGGUGGCUGAGUGACUCCGCUCUACCUCCAUGCCGCUCCUAAACUUCAGGAUGAAGACCCAAUUCUCAAGAAACUUCUCCCCAAGCUCUGCCUCUCCAGGGGCAGCGGUUCUGGGUUCUGGUGACAUUCUGCCAGGGAGCAUCCUGGCAUGGUGGCGAAGGGGGAAGUAGAGGGGGCUAAAGAGGAGCCUGCUUUGUCAUCAUCCCCUCCCAGGGAACUCGGCGGCUCUCAUUGGCUUGUGGGGGUUAAUGAAGGACCAGCUUGGGCUCUUAGGGAGUCUUGGCAAGGGUCCUUAUCUACCCAUCUCACUGGGAAGUUCCAGUCAGAGUUGAGAGGAAGCAUACCCGCCAGUCAACACCAGAGAUCCCUUACUUGUCUGAGUCCAUUCUCCUCUGGGUGUGAAAACUCGGCUGAGGCAGAAGCUCUUUCAGUUUGUUCACCUGUGUCCCAGGAUAACAUAGAUGGCCUUGAACUUGGGAAUCUGUCUGCCUUAGUUUGCUAAGUAGCUGGGAUUUCAGGUGGACAACACACCAUGGUUUUUGUUUCUUCUAUCAAGCUGAGGAUCAAAGGCAGGUGCGCUCUGCCACCAAGCGACAUCCUGACCCCCAUCUGUAAUCCUUUCAAAGAAAGAAAAGAGUUUGCUUGGAUCAAAGAGCAAAAAUGAAUUUUGUCAAGUGGAUGUGCAGGAGGCGCUCCUCUACACUACGGGGAGAAGAGUUGGCAAGAAGAAAGGACCUUGGAACGAGAGCCUGUACAGUUGGUGACUGGCCUAUGGUGGUGCACCCAUUCACAUGUGUGGGCAUUCUCACACACAGACAUACAGACAGACAUGUGGAAGUGUGCCCCCCCAAUCAAUGGGCAUGUGGGAGCCACUAGUGAGAAAGAGCCCAUCUCACACUGGUGCAGGAUAGGAGGCCUAGGCUGUCUCUCCUUUCACAUACCAAAUGCCCCCAGGUAACAGCCACACAAGGGUAGUUAGUUGUAUUGCCGCUGGGAGUCCUGUGUGGGACACUUAGGAAAUAAAGAUUAAUGAAACUGGCAAGAGUCCUCAAUCCAACCCAAGCACAUGGCUGAAGUGCCUGCCACGAGCACCCACCAGAAGCUUUGCUAGUUGCAGGCUGAAGCUCUAGCUAAAGCAAGGCACUACACAAUGCAACUGGGGUAUUGAC
rnacentral:lncRNA from 1 species